rnacentral:rRNA from 1 species
CCUACGGGUGGCAGCAGUGGGGAAUAUUGCACAAUGGGCGAAAGCCUGAUGCAGCAACGCCGCGUGAGCGAUGAAGGUCUUCGGGUCGUAAAGCUCUGUCCUAAGGGAAGAAUAUUGACGGUACCUUAGGAGGAAGCCCCGGCUAACUACGUACCAGCAGCCGCGGUAAUACGUAGGGGGGUAGCGUUAUCCGGAAUUACUUGGCGUAAAGGGUGCGUAGGCGGCCCUUCAAGUCAGAGGUGAAAGGCUACGGCUCAACCGUAGUAAGCCUUUGAAACUGUAGGGCUUGGGUGCAGGGGAGGAGGGUGGAAUUCGCCGUGUAGCGGUGAAAUGCGUAUAUAUUGGGAGGAACACCAGUUGCGAAGGCGGCGCUCUGGACUGUAACUGACGCUGAGGCACGAAAGCGUGGGGAGCGAACAGGAUUAGAUACCCGGGUAGUC